rnacentral:misc_RNA from 1 species
UACGGAGGGUGCAAGCGUUAUCCGGAUUUAUUGGGUUUAAAGGGUCCGUAGGCGGGCUCAUAAGUCAGUGGUGAAAUCCUGCAGCUCAACUGUAGAACUGCCAUUGAUACUGUGGGCCUUGAAUUCGGUUGAAGUGGGCGGAAUAUGACAUGUAGCGGUGAAAUGCUUAGAUAUGUCAUAGAACACCGAUUGCGAAGGCAGCUCACUAAGCCUGGAUUGACGCUGAUGGACGAAAGCGUGGGUAGCGAACAGG